UAACUGACAGAAUGAAUGAGUCUCAUAGCAGUCUUAAAACAAAAGUGGCUUUUCCUGAGAAGGAGUGCAAAACCUUUUGUGGCUAUCAGGGGGACAAAUUUGUUGCUUUGAUAUAUUUUUUUCUUCUUGUAUCCUACAAACAUAUUUUUCUCAUAACCCUAAAAACUGUACACAAACAUUAAUCUUUUACCGACUACUUCAGAUGAACAAUGAAUCCGUAUAGGACACACAAACAGAUAUUCAUCCACAUAUUUGGAACAAAAUACAGUCUAGAAACAGCAGAAUUUCAUUUUUUCUUUCCAAAUUGAUAUAAUCUAGGGAGUCAGGUGGCUGAGCGGUGAGGGAAUCGGGCUGGUAAUCCAAAGGUUGCCAGUUCGAUUCCCGGUCAUGCCAACUGACGUUGUGUCCUUGGGCAAGGCACUUCACCCUACUUGCCUCGGGGUAAUGUCCCUGUACUUACUGUAAGUCGCUCUGGAUAAGAGCGUCUGCUAAAUGACUAAAUGCUUCUACUCAGGGAUACUCCUUUAAUAUAUUUGCCAGCUUAACCAUAACAUGAGGAGAUAGUGAGAAGCAUGCUUGUGAGCUAAAUACAUUCAGAGUUGACCAUAUUGGACGUUGUAUGUUAACAACCAGUAAUCAAGCAAAAUACAAAACUAAAUUCCAACCUUCAGGAGGGUAUUCCAGAAAGCAUCAUGCAACAUAACCAGGUAAGUGAACUAUCGAGUUGGCACACAGCAUUGUAGCGACAUUUUGUGUCAGCUGGAGAGUUAACUUACCCGGUUAAGUCGCAUAACUUGCUUUCUGGAAUACCACCCAGAUCUUUAGGUUUUUAAGAUUUGUUUUUCAUCUCUGAUAUAAUUCUCAACCCUAGGCAUAUUGUUAUGAUUGCAUUAAAGGCAAAAGUAUUUUUGGUGUGUCUUACAUAUAACUUUCCUAUAAAAUUGUUGCAGCUGUAUAAGUAAGAUAUUUUUAUUGCAAUAUAGUGGGACAGAUCCAAAAGUUCUACCUCAAAUUCAAGUGCCUUUGUUUUUUACUUGUGAAUGUAUCAUAGUGCCUUCCUAAUUUUUGCCACAGCAAAUGUACUAGAAAUAAGUGUUCAACAAUGAUAAAAGUGGAAUAAUAUUCAACAUAAAUAUUUAACUUUGUUUAAGAACAUUUGCUUGGGCUGGUUUUAACAUUCUUCACAACUACUAAAAACUUAAGAAGUGAAGUUAGGGUAAAUUUGACCCAGUGUAGAUUACCAGUUACUUAUCUUCAAACUUUGUAAUAAAGGCCCUUUAAUUCUUCAUUUGUAUGACUUGCAAUUGUAACCACCUCUUACAUUUACGUAAUUCAGGUCCAAGUCAUUUGUGGCUACACCAUGCCCACUGUAUUACAGUAACUGUGUUUACUCUUUGAUGCAGUUUGGUGCAAAGUUAGUUUAUCAAUUGCUGCAAGUGUAUGUAGCAUAUGUGCUUAUUGUUUAAGUUAAGUCAUAUGUGGGUUUGUGAGGAUGAGUACGGGUACACACCUUUUGUGUUGAUAUAGAGUUGAUGGGAAAUGUUUUCUAUUUCGUGAAUUUAUCUAUUUAACUACAUUUUAUUCAGUCUGUCUUGACCUACAUCAUAGCAUUGCUCUGACCAUUUUGUCUUGCAGAGAUGCAGAAAGAGUCCAAUACUAUCAUUGUCUUCCUGGGCCAUCCCCUUACAAGCUACUUUGAACCAAUGCUCUCUGGACGCUGUUGUAAUGUACUGUAUGUCUUAUUAAUGUUAUAUAUUUUAACUUUGUCUGCAAACCAAAUUUGCCUUACCUGACAAUAAAGACUUAAUUUGGUAUCUAAGGGAA